rnacentral:lncRNA from 1 species
GGAAAUGUCACCCGGAGCCCGGGCCCGCGGGGGAGAGGUGGCGCGUUAGAGAUGUGUGUGGGAGAGAGGGAGCGAGAGAGAGAGAGAGAGAGAGAGGGGGAGCGAGACCUCCGCUGGCCCCGCGAACUUGUCAAGCAGAAGAGUGACCAAGUGGUCUUCUCCACAGCAGCCAUGAACUUCAACCUUGAACUGAAGAAGACUCAUCAAAUGCCUUAGGAAAGACAGUAUGGAGCUGGAAGAGAAGCAGGGAUCUUCAUGAAGGGCAGUCAGUUAUAGUUAUGGUGUGUGGAGGAACAGGUCCUGUUCUUGCUGUUGUUACUCCCACAUAGGCAGACUCUGUAAUUGAUUAUGUGUGGGUAGGGCCCUAUUGAAAUUCAGGAGAUUCUGCAGUAGUGUGGGGUUCUUAUUGUGAAAGUUCAGUUGCAAGAUCAGGACCCUACUGUGACUACUUACUGUGCGUUCUGUCACUGUCUCAUUGAUUGUACUGGAACCUGCCUAUUGGGAUAAUUACCAAAUACUAUAUUCCUCAAAACUUCUUAAUGGCACUGAGGCUUUGUGGAUAGUUGGUCACAUGAUGAGAAAAUUCAGCUGUGAUUCACCAUGGGACCCUGAAGUUCUUCCUUACGUCAAGUGAGUGGCUCAGCAAUGAUGUAUGACACUACAAAAACUGUUGUGUUUUCCUUCUCGAAAGAUCGCAGACUACUCAUUUUCUCCGGGGUUCAUGGAGGUGGCAAGGAUGGACUCCCAAGGCAUGGCUGCAAUGGUUGUUUGAAAUAAGAAACAGAUACCCUUGGUGUCAUGCAUCUCUGAUCACUGGGAAUCGGAGCUUGAAGGAAGGUGGAAGAAAACUCCUACAGAGAGUAUGAGGAAUCGUUUGUCUUGUAAGGGGGGUAUAAUGGCAUUUUUAAAGCUUUUACCAAAUAUCAGGACAUGUGAUAGGAGUUUAUGGACUGGGAAUUACAUGAAAGAUUGUGAAAUGGGGAAGAAUUCACAUUAUGGAAAGUGCUGGAGAACUACAACCUAAGCACUCUGAAAUUUGUGACCAGGCCCACAGAAUGUCUUCAUAUGAUGGAACUAUCUCAGAUGACUGUUGGUUAAAAAUAUAAUUUGCAAGCCCCUGCACCCUUCCCCAGAUAGACUGGGAAAAUACAUUCCUUUUAUUAAUAUUACUUCAGGAGACUGGACGGUAUUCUGAGCAGUGAAACAUACAGUUUAUGUCUUGCUACAGAAUUCAGAUUAAAGAAAAAAAAGGCAGUGCUAAUUUGUACCUGGGAGUUGGUAUCUGUUUUAAAAAAUGUUGUUCUAAAGAUAAUUUUUUUUACAUUUUUAUAUGUAUUAAGUAACACAUCCAUAUGAUAAAACAUGAAGUGUAUAAUUAAAACAAUGUAUAUAAUUAUAUAAUUAUGUAAAUACUACCAAAAUCAUAUGUGUAAGUAUUAAAUAAACUGUUUCAUUUCUAGAGGUUACAGAAAACACUUUAGGAUGUUAUACAGUCUUUCCACCUCUUCCCCCAAUAGUUUUUAAUAUAAUUGCAGUUUUAGAGCUAAUCCAUAUAUUAACAUUUUAACAUUUGCAGUUGUGUUAAAUUUUACUAAGGAACAAUUUAGUUUGGGGAAACCGUUGAAUCUGUGGUUUGUGUUGUUUGAACAAGAAGUCCCUGAGUAUUUUUCCCAAAUGCCACUAUUUUUUCUACACUGGCAGCUGUAUAUUUGUGGUCACCUGAUGGCAAUGCAUGCAAAGACCCUGUGCAGCAGCAGUGCCUCUCCCAGGAAAUACCAGGAGGGAAACUGUAAGUAACCAAAGCACACAGAAUUAGCUCUUCUUGGUGGCGGUCUCAUGUAGGCAGCACUUGAAUGACACUUUAUAUUUCUGGAUAAGGUGAAGGUAAGAGAUAGAAACCAUUUUCUUCUGUUCCAUGGACUGGGCUGGAAAGAACAACUCUUCUGAGACACAGCUUUACACAGAACAUGAGCAGAGUGGUGUCAUCAGCAAUUCUGAAAAUGUGUUUACAAUGGCUGGGGAAAAUAUUUAGUCAGCAUUUAAAUAUCUUAGCUCAUACACAAAUUUUAGAUGUCUACUGCACUUAACAGUUCCAAUAACUGGUUUCAUUAAGGUUUUUAGUGAUACAAAUUAAUAACAAAAGUCAGUUAAUACAGAGUGCAGUUAUGAGACCAAACCACAUGUGUUUUAAAUUUAAGGAGUUAAAUGUUAGCAUCUCCCUAUAGAGAAAGGUUAUUUGGGUGGUGGUAUACUGACAUUAUCACCACCCACAGAGAAGGGGACCUCUUGAUCAUACUGGUUAAGCAGAAAUUAAAAAAAGGAAAACUGUAGGUCUAGAGGGUUUGCUUGGUGUAAGUGAAUCACACAGGAAAAAUGCUGAUACCCAGGGUUGUUGUAGUGACUUUCUUUGAUGGCUAGAAAGAGAAAUAAGCACAGGAUAUUUUUGUCAAGUUAGAGGGUUUAGAUUGCUUCUUGCUAGGUAAAAUUUAUCUUAGUUAUUAAUAUAGUGGAAAGUUAAAUGAUGAUAAUGGAAAUAUGAUAAUAAGUGCUGUUGGAAAAUGGACAGAAAUUAUUUUCUUUGUCCAUUUAAAUAUUCCAAUGUGUUAAUAGUUGGGCUGAAGGGCUGCUAAGAACAUGAAUGUGGAAAAUAAAGGAAAGCUUCUGUUCAUGAAGAUGUUUCUGGACACUGCCAUACUGUUUCUGGCAAAUCAUAUCUGAUAAGAUACAGGUUAAAAAGUAUCAUUCAUUUAGCAGAAAAUAGUGCUAUCUGUAUGUCUGGAUUUCUGUUUGAGAAAGCCUUUAUUAUAAUCUUACUGGACCUAGCUAGAAAAAAAAAUCUAAUAAUAAUAAUAAGUUACUAAUUUGCCACUACUUAAUGUUAAUUCAAUCUGACAACUCUGCCUAUAAGCUUCUUCUAUUAUUCCUGGAAGAAAAUGACAUAAAAUUGGAUGGGUUUGGGUAGUUUCAUACAGAAUGGAACUGCACAGAAAAGCCAGGUAUCAGCAUCAUGCAUAUAGGGAGAUCUUGUCUCUGACCCUCAGCUAGUCAGUUUUGAAAUUUUCUAUGUGAGAUACAGUUUCAACAUGAAAAGUCAAAAUAUAGUGGUUUACAAUCACUUUUGCUUUGUUUGAAGCUAAAACUCAAAACAAAACUCCUGGAGUAUAGAACUGUAUGAAGGAAAAUACAAGAAAGUUAACACAUAAACUCUGCAAACUGAGCAAGCUAGUUUCACUCAGCUCUUGAAAUAACCCCUUUCUGCAAGUUCACUUUUCAAUUGCACAUAUGAGAGAUGUCAAAAAUGAGUUGGUUUCACAACCCCAUGGCACAGAUAAACAGUACAGCUUUAAAGCUUCACCUUCUGUUCGAACAAGGUCUUGCUCUCAUUCUCUGUCUUGGCUUAUACCUUUGACAUCUGCCAGGAGAUGAAAUUUUCUCAGUUCUAGGCUAGUUGCAUUGAGCUUUUGUUCGUCUGUAGAACACGAAAUUUGUGGUAAGACCUAAAUUCAGCCUGUUUUUCACAGUUGUAUCCAGCACUGAGAACUCAUUUCCCAAAUCUUUAUCAAUGCUCUAAAUGGCUCCUAGUCCUAAAAUGAGAGUAGACACUUCACCACUUGGAGGUCAUGCAAGCAUUCAUGUGCUUUAAGUUAGAAACCUGGUAUUUCAGGGGUACUGAACACCUGCUGCUCUUCCUAACUUGUAUAGGAGCUGCAGGAACUCAUGCCCUUGUGAAGAUCAUACUCCUCAUCUCAAGGGGUCUGCUUUUAUUCACAGUGGGGCAGUGAGCAUUCCUCUGCUCUGUUAUCGGCUUUUGUAAAGUUUUAGUGAAGCACAACAAACUGAUGCUGCACUGAUAUUGAAGUGGUUUCAGCUGGUUGGUGCAGUGCUCUGUUUUGGAUUCAGUAUGAGAAUUAUGUUGAUAACAUAGUGAUGUUUUAGUUGUUGCUAAGUAGUGCUUACUCUGAAGGACUUUCACUGUGUCAUGCUCUGCCAGUGAGCAAGUGCACAAGAAUCUCGAGGGAGCAUGUCCAGGACUGUUGAUCUGAAGUAGCCAAAGGUAUAUUCCAUACCACAGAAUGUCAUGCCCAGGAUAUAAAACUGCUGCAGUUUGGUCAGGAGCUGCUAUCAGUUCUUGGGGGUGGGCUGAGCAGUGUGUGGUGAACAAAUAUAUUGAGCAUCACUUGUUUCUGUUGCGUUUUAUUUGCACACCCCCUAGAUCCUCAAUGUAUUUUCAUUGCAAUUGUUAUUAUCUUAAUAUUUUCUUUUGUUUCAAUCAUUGCUCAUCUCAACACAAGAGGUUUACUUUUUCUUCUAAUUCCCAUCAGUGCAGGUGGGGAAGUGAGCAAGUGGCUGUGUGGUACUUGAUUGCCAUCUGGGGUUAAACUGUGAGAGACACAGACACUUUCAACAGAGCAUUGCUGAGUACUUAUGAGUUCAGACAGGUCAGAACUCCUUUGUUUGCUGGGCAGCUGGUCCAUUUUCUCUCCCCAAAAAUACUGAGGGACUGAUCUGAGUUUUCUAAAUUAUCACUGAUGGAGAAACAAGACCUCAGCAGCAGUGGGGCUAAGGUAGGAGGCUUCUAGAUGUAACUCUCACGCGUCGGGAACUUAGUUGAGAAGAACUGGAGUGAUGCUCAGGAAAAUAAAAAUCA